UCCGGCGGCUAUAGCGGCGGGGAAGCACCUCUUCCCAUUCCGAACAGAGAAGUUAAGCCCGCCAGCGCCGAUGGUACUGCUCGGGCGACCGUGUGGGAGAGUAGGUCGCCGCCGGGA
rnacentral:rRNA from 1 species